rnacentral:misc_RNA from 1 species
GCUCAUGCAUGAGCUUUUAGCAAGAAUACUUUUUUUCAUCAAAGAAAUGGGGAAAGAUAAUUGAACAGAUACACUAGUAUCUCUAAUUUCCUUCACUGCUGCAAAGCUCCCGGCUAGAUUUUUAUUGCUGCGUUAAUUGUGAAAGAGACUAUAAUUUUAUCUACAAAAUGGGAUUUUGAUCAUUAUCUCACAGGCAACAAAUUUUCACAAUCAUUUGGGCCCAAGAUUUUAAUUUUAGGGCUGGGUGCUUGGUAUAGUGAUGCUCCUCUAAAAACUCACUCCAGUUCCUUGAUAAAAUCAACAUUGUCUACAAAAACCGCCUUCCAACCAUCAGGAUCCAAGCAUGCAGUUAUCUUGGUGUUUAUGCCAGGUAAUGGUCCAGGUUCCCGGGUAAUCUUCCCACCAAACAAUUUGAUUGCUUCAGCAGUUUUAUAGACAUCAUCUGUGCCUAUUGCAAUCUGAGCAUAUGCAUUUCCUUUGUCAUAUUCAGUGACCCCAUAGUUGUAUGUCAACUCCAGCACAGCACUUUUGUCUUCAGGACCAUAAC